GGCCAUUAGAAAGUAGUGAGAUAACUGGCUUCGGUUCCGACUGGAGUUGGUUGAGACUCGAUACUACACUCUUUGAGAUUGGACUUUAGGGAAGCUUCGGUCAACCACUUGGUGUUGCACUGAAGUGGACUUAAGGAAAGGUCAAUGAUUUGAGAUCCUUCUAGAACCCGGUUACUAUUCUAAGACAGGUUGAACCCACCAAACUUCAGUGGGGAGGGUACUUACCUAUGGAACUCAUGCAAGCCUUAAAACCUAGGAAUGAUUGUUGUAUGACUUGCUUAUGCUUGUUAUUUGUUUAAUAUCAUAAUAUCAUAACAUCAUAACAUCAUAACAUCAUAACAUCAUAACAUUAUGACAUUGCACUAAUCACUUCGAGGACUUAGGGAUUUAACUUGGCUCUAUUUUGUAAGGCUAUGGCUCCCAGGAAGACUAUCCGGAUAAAUUUUGUAGUCAUCUCUCCUCAACUCAAGGAUUUAGUGUCAGAACUUCCUGAUCAGGCUCAGUUCGUCAAAAAGCAUGGUUCUCUCCUCGAUUUGGUUACCACUGGUUUCAAAGAAGAUAUGAUGAGAGUCCUAUUCCAGUUCUUCGAUCCUAAACAUCAUUGCUUCACA
rnacentral:lncRNA from 1 species